GGCUUUCUGCAGUGGCAGUAUUAUAGUCUAGGAAGUUCUACUGAGGUGUGAUUAUUACUAACUGAAAACUUUACCCAAUACCUCAUUAAGUCUGUCUUUUGACAGACUUGACAAUUUUUUUAAAGUCUCUCUGAAGAC